AGGGCGACCGGCCACACUGGGACUGAGACACGGCCCAGACUCCUACGGGAGGCAGCAGUGGGGAAUAUUGGGCAAUGGAGGAAACUCUGACCCAACGACGCCGCGUGAGGGAUGAAGGCCUUCGGGUUGUAAACCUCUUUCAGUAGGGAAGAAGCCAAAGUGACGGUACCUACAGAAGAAGCACCGGCUAACUAUGUGCCAGCAGCCGCGGUAAUACAUAGGGUGCAAGCGUUGUCCGGAAUUAUUGGGCGUAAAGAGCUCGUAGGU
rnacentral:rRNA from 1 species